rnacentral:rRNA from 1 species
UACGUAGGGUGCAAGCGUUAAUCGGAAUUACUGGGCGUAAAGCGUGCGCAGGCGGUCCGCUAAGACAGAUGUGAAAUCCCCGGGCUUAACCUGGGAACUGCAUUUGUGACUGGCGGGCUAGAGUAUGGCAGAGGGGGGUAGAAUUCCACGUGUAGCAGUGAAAUGCGUAGAGAUGUGGAGGAACACCAGUGGCGAAGGCGGCUUUCUGGUCUGUAACUGACGCUGAGGCGCGAAAGCGUGGGGAGCAAACAG